UACGGGGGGGGCAAGCGGUUGUUCGGAAUUACUGGGCGUAAAGGGCUCGUAGGUGGCCAACUAAGUCAGACGUGAAAUCCCUCGGCUUAACCGGGGAACUGCGUCUGAUACUGGAUGGCUUGGAGUUCGGGAGAGGGAUGGCGGAAUUCCAGGUGUAGCGGAUUGAAAUGCGUAGAUAUCUGGAGGAACACGGUGGCGAAGGCAGGCCG
rnacentral:rRNA from 1 species